UUUUAGAUACAUUUUUAGGUCCUCUAAGGAUACUGAGGAAUUAUAUACGAAUGAUGUUCAUAUUUGGAUAUUAUUUGUGAAGUUGUUAUUGGUGCUUGAUGUUAUUAAUUAUGUGCUAAAUUGUUUUAGCAGUUUAUAGGGAGCACUCGAAGCCUAAUGCUUUUGAAAUUUUAUGUUUUGCUUUGGAAAUGAUUUUCACCGACGUCAAGCUUUAAAAUAUGAAAGCAUUGUUUUAGCAGGUUUUGAAAUGGAAAUGAAUUUCAAUAUCUGGAAUCAAAUGUCUUGAACUUGCUCAAACAAAGAAACAUGGUAAAACCUGCAUUGGUUUUCAUUUUUCAUAGUGUUAAGUGUAUGUUAUAAAGGAUUUUGAAGCUAAAACAUCAGACCUUGUUUCUGAACAAUUC
rnacentral:lncRNA from 1 species